AACAGAGAGUGGGUAAGGAAUCCGGAGUUGGAGGAGGGGCCUAUGGUACAUAAACGGAGGUGGAGGUCGUUAGGAUAGCAGUUUUCCCUGGGCAGACAAGCCGCUCUGCUCGGUAAAUGUUUAACUUUGCCUGGCUUCUCCCUGCCCUUCCCUCUUGCAUGCCCUGGCUCUGCUAUUUUCUCUCUGAAUCUAUCAACACAGAAUCUUAAAGUGAUCAAAAAAUAACAAGGCGAUUCAUUCUGUGCCAACCAGGAAAGCCCAGUCCAUCACGGUACAGGACGCCUUCCUCGAAGUACUUAAAAAAAACCAUAUAGCUCAACCAUGACUACGAGAUGCAGGGGAACUCCUGGAGCUUACUGCUUCCACUAAGAAAUGAAACUUAAAAUAUUCUGCUGUGACCUUUUUGCCUGAGAGGAGAGUUUAAUUACCUGCCCAGUUUACAUAAAUUAUGUCGCCUGUUUGUCUAAAAUUGAAUCCUGGGUAGAGAUCAAUAUGGCCUCAGAAACACCAGAGCAAAUGACUUCUCAAAUGCCAUCAAAGGUCACUGGAACCUUUCCUGUUUGGAUGGGGACACAUUCUGUUCGACAACCUGGAACAUGUCACUGGCCUGCUGCCUGCUGCCCUGGGUUCCAACCACAAGAGCAUGAUUGAUCAUCAGUUAGAGGACGCAGGGGACGAACUCCCUCAGGAAUCGGCUGUAUGGAAUUAACUGAAUACCACGAUGAGUCUGAUUCAUCACAAAGAAUGAGGAAAAUGGCACAGAACACACCCAGAGCUUGAUGCAUGAGGCCUCUCGGAGGUAAACUGCAAUUUAUACUCAGGAUCCUGAUGGUUACAGACUGUGCACGUGCUAUUCGGUUGCAGUUCCACACAAUUAUCCAGGGGAAAAAAGUGUCUUUAGAUCUUUCCUUCGUUCUACUAUUCUUCCUUUCAGGAAGGAGAUACUGGUGAGGGCCAGGUAUGUGUGUGACUUUAUUCAAAUUAUUACAUUAUAAAAUAUUUCAUAGUUGAGGUGCAAAUAAAGUAUACUUAUAGGGAUCGCAGACAGAGAUAGAGUCUUCCUCUGGGAGAUCCAGAGAAAGCUUCGUAGAGGGUAUAAUAUUUAAUUAACUGGACAAAGAGUUAUCGUUAUAGUAAAUAUUUGGAAAACGAAGGCACGAGGAUAUAGCAAGAGCAAUGUCACAGAAAUUGUGCAAAUCUGAAGCCCAGCAAUGACUUCGAUAUGACCUGAACAUCAGGGUAAAGAUAUUGAAAAGAGAGGACGGCUUGUGGGUGCUGAAGUCAGGCCCUCUGUGAGCAUGUGCGUUUUGUCAGCAUAAAGCCAGAGGGAAAAGAACCAACCGAGAAGAAACAGAGACACGUGGCAAAACUCAUGGAAUUAAAGACAAAAAAAAGGAGGGAUCCCAUUAGGAGAGUGAUGAAGACGAUCAAAAGGUAGAGAGAGGUCAAGAAGAACAGACCCAAGAAACACCACUGAUAAUGUCAUUGCAAGAGCAAUCUCAGCCUAGCGUGUCCAAUCUCGAGGGAAAAAAAGAAACUCUAGCGAAAGUCAAUGCCGUAGGUGUGGAUUGAGCUUCCUCACAGUUCAGUGGUAAAUGGAGAUAGAAUGAAGGUAAAUACAGCAGUGAAAAUAGAAAUAAGGAAAAGUAGAUGGGGGGGGGCGGUGAUUUUAUCAUAAAAAGCAAAACACUGUGGUAGGCAGAAGGGUUGAGUGCAAGAAAAUGAGAGACGGAUGCUAUAAAAAAAACGGCAGAUAAUUGUUAUAUCACGUUUUCUUGGAGCGGGGGCAGUAAGAGGACAUGGAAUUGAGAGUUCGGGUAUAAGAAUAUCUUCUUCCAGCAGAAGAAGGAAGGGAAAACUAAGAAAGUUUAAGAUAGGUAUGAAAUAUGUCAGGUCUCUUAAGGCUUAGAAAGCUCUUCCCCAAAGACAGAAACAAAGACAGACAAUACUAAAUUA